rnacentral:rRNA from 1 species
UACAGAGGUCCCAAGCGUUGUUCGGAUUCACUGGGCGUAAAGGGUGCGUAGGCGGUCGGGUAAGUCUGGCGUGAAAUCUCCAAGCCUAACUUGGAAACUGCGUUGGAUACUAUCCGGCUCGAGGAAUGGAGGGGAGACUGGAAUACUUGGUGUAGCAGUGAAAUGCGUAGAUAUCAAGUGGAACACCAGUGGCGAAGGCGAGUCUCUGGACAUUUCCUGACGCUGAGACGCGAAAGCGUGGGGAGCGAACAGG